rnacentral:rRNA from 1 species
UACGGGAGGCAGCAGUGGGGAAUAUUGCACAAUGGGCGAAAGCCUGAUGCAGCUAUGCCGCGUGUAUGAAGAAGGCCUUAGGGUUGUAAAGUACUUUUCAUCGGGGAGGAAAAAACAAAACUAAUAAUUUUAUUUCUUGACGUUACCCGAAAAAGAAGCACCGGCUAACUCCGUGCCAGCAGCCGCGGUAAUACGGAGGGUGCUAGCGUUAAUCAGAAUUACUGGGCGUAAAGAGCACGUAGGUGGUUUUUUUAAGUCAGAUGUGAAAUCCCUGGGCUUAACCUAGGAACUGCAUUUUGAAACUGAAAUACUAGAGUAUCGUAGAGGGAGGUAGAAUUCUAGGUGUAGCGGUGAAAUGCGUAGAUAUCUGGAGGAAUACCUGUGGCGAAAGCGGCCUCCUAAACGAAUACUGACACUGAGGUGCGAAAGCGUGGGGAGCAAACAGGGAUUAGAUACC